AUGGGCAACGCGUUCGCGUGCAUGCCGCGCAAGGAGCACCGGGGCGCGGCCGCGGUGUCGCGCAGCAAGCGCAUGGGGAGCGCGCGCCCGCCGCGCGGCGGGGCGGCCAAGCUCACGCCGGCGGAGGAGGAGCUCCUGCACCGCCAGGCGCUCGCCAUGGCCAUCCACCAGCACCUCGACGCCGGAGGCUCCAUGUCGCGCCGCAUCGACGCCGGCGGCGGCUCCAUGUCCCGCCGAAUCGGCCCCGGCUCCACCAGCUCCCGGCGACACGGCAACCUCCCGGACUCCGUCACCAAUGCCAAGGCUGUCCAAAUUGUUUUAGAGAACUUAGAAACCAAGAAAGUCGUUCUUGUCCAUGGGGAGGGAUUUGGCGCUUGGUGUUGGUACAAGACCAUCUCCCUGUUGGAGGAAGCUGGUCUCGAUCCUGUUGCCUUAGACCUCACAGGCUCUGGCAUAGACCACACUGAUACAAACAGCAUAGCUACGUUGGAAGAGUACUCCAAGCCACUAAUUGAUUACCUCAGUAAACUCCCUGAGAACGAGAAGGUUGUUUUGGUCGGUCAUAGUUGUGGAGGUGCAAGCGUGUCAUAUGCCGUAGAACACUGCCCAAAGAAGAUCUCCAAGGCCGUAUUCCUUACCGCCACAAUGGUAAAGGAUAGCCAGAGGCCCUUCGACGUGUUCUCUGAAGAGCUCGCGUCGGCAGAUGUUUUCUUGCAAGAAUCACAGUAUUUACUUUACGGAAAUGGGAAGGACAAGCCUCCAACUGGGCUCAGGUUUGACAAACAGCAGAUCAAGGGGUUAUAUUUCAACCAAAGUCCUUCCAAGGAUAUCGCACUAGCCACCGUGUCCAUGAGGCCCAUCCCUUUAGCCCCGAUCAUGGAGAAGCUCUCCCUGACGGCGGAGAACUAUGGCACGGUCCGCCGCUACUUCAUCCAGACGCUGGACGACCGGAUGCUGUCGCCCGACGUCCAGGAGAAGCUGGUCCGGGAGAGCCCGCCCGACGGCAUCUUCAAGAUAAAGGGCGGCGACCACUGCCCCUUCUUCUCAAAGCCGCAGUCCCUCCACAAGAUCCUGCUCGAGAUCGUGCAGAUCCAAGCUCCGGGGGCGCUGUUCCCAGGCAAAGCAGAGACCCUAGAAGAAGAGGAGGAGAGCGCCGAGAAAUCAUGA
rnacentral:rRNA from 1 species